rnacentral:lncRNA from 1 species
ACAGAUGGGAGCAGAGAAGCCGGUCUUUCUAGCAUUUCUCUCCCUCUUUUCCACUAGUCCUCAGUAAAACAGCCUUGCCAGAACCAGAUGUCUUUUUUCUGCAGAUAUUUACUGUUAUGACUUGGGAGGCAGCAGGUUCUGGACUGUUGCCCUCACCUAGACCGCCCCCCCCCCUUGUCAGAUGCCACCCGUUUUCUCAGACCCGUCGGUCUCCCAGACCACAUUGCUUUGUGAGCAGAUGCCUGUCAGGGACAGCUCUAUCAGAACAGACCGAGUCCAGCCCAGUGAGCCGUGAUGUUCUCUCACUGCUCGGUCCCCCCUCUGCCAUCUACAGCGACAUAGGUUGGGUCUGUUCCCCUGGCAGACAGCAGGCCUUCAGAGCCCUGCCAGAAUCUCUUGUGUCUCCCCUAGCACACACACAUCCCUCCCCACCCACCACCGCCAGGCCUGGAUAGCCCUAGUUCUCUCCCAUUUCUUGGUGUCAGGGUGUUCAGACCUUUUAAGCAGAUGAAUGCUAACUCAUUCAAGGCUUUUAAAACCCAGUGCCUUAGCAGGGUACAGUGGCACACACCUGUAGUUACAGCUGUGUGGGAGGAUUGCAGGAGUUCCUGUCUAGCCUGGGCAACAUAGCAAGACCUCCUUGUCUUUUAAAAGAAAAUUAAAAAAAAAAAAGUGCCCUAAACUGAAUCCAGCCCUGCAGAUGUAGCUGGGCCAGGACAGAACAGAGGGUAACCACUGCCUUCCCAAGCAAGCAAUGGAAACUGGCAGCUGCAGUGUCUUCAUCACGCGAUGGGGUGGGAAUGCUGCCCCUUAUCUGGGCACAAGGAAUAGUGUCAUCUGUGCACCUUAAAGUUGCACAAAAGCUUUCCUAGUAGCGACAUCUCAUCCUUGUCAAACUUGAAAUUAUCUAAAAACCACAAGUCUCUUCAUAGGAACUGUUUGCAAGUCAGCAGUUCCCCAUUUUGUACUGCAUGAAAUGCACCCUUGAGCCUAAAUAUCUGGCUUGCAUUUGCCCUGGUACAUUUAACUGGCGUGGUGAAGUAGGAGGAGCAAAGGCGUCGGAAUCUAACAGUGCUGUAUGAUUCUUGCUUCUUUAAGCUUCGGUUUCCUUGGGUUUAAAACAGGGUUCCUAGGAAGCUGAGAUGGAAAAAGGUGGCUGCCGCCUGGCUCCAUUCCAAGUUGCUGCUCUCGUUCUGUAGCUAGCCCAGGUUUCCGGGUUCCGUAUUAACCCUGUGACCAUCUCAACCCUUGACACUGUCGAUAGGAAGCUGGUCGUUCUCUCAGCUGGGCCUUUACUUAAGUCCUGGACAAACAAGUUGACCAAGGGCAGGCAGAGACUGCUACAGGGUGCCACAUAGUGUAUGCAGUGCACAAAUGGUUCUAUUUUUGGUGGGUCGGUGUUGCCAGCGAGCUGACCCUGACCAGGUGUGGAGGGGAGUGGGUGGGGGGCUGUGGAAAUGUGGCCAGGUCCCUACCCCUAUCGGCAGAGGCUCCAUCCUGCCCUUCCUCUCAGCCACAGGUGCAGGAUGGUAGAUGGGAACUUGCCAGAAGGAUGCGACCCUAUUUAAGUAGUUGUGUUUUCUUCCAGCCCAGCAUCCCCACCAAAACAGGAAAAGAAGUGCUCUCGUGCAGGGCUUGUUCACAGUGAGCCUGGCUGGCUCCUCAUGAUCUCUGAGUUUAAAAUGUGCCAGCAGAUGAUUUUAACGAUCCCAUCAAAAAUUGUUGUCUGGAUCAGUUUCGAGCUAGCGUUUCCUUGCAGAGGCCAUUCUUCCUUUUUUGACAAAAGUUGGGUCGGCCAGGUGCAGUGGCUCAUACUUGUAAUCCCAGCACUUCGGGAGGCUGAGGCAGGUGGAUCACCUGAGGUCAGAAGUUCAAGACCAGCCUGGCCAACAUGGCAAAACCCUGUCUCUACUAAAAAUAAAAAAUAAAAAUAAAAAUAAAAAAAAGCCGGACGUGGUGGUGGGCACCUGUAAUCCCAGCUACUGGGGAGGCUGAGGCAGGAGAAUCACUUGAACCCAGGAGGCAGAGGUUGCAGUGAGCCAAGAUUGCACCAUUGCACUCCAGCCUGGGCGACAAGAGCGAAACUCCGUCUC